UACGUAGGGGGCGAGCGUUGUCCGGAAUUACUGGGCGUAAAGCGCGCGUAGGUGGCUUGUUAAGACCGAUGUGAAAUCUCCGCGCUUACCGUGGAGAGGUCGUUGGUGACUGGCAGGCUUGGGUUCGGCAGAGGUGAGUGGAAUUCCGGGUGGAGCGGUGAAAUGCGUAGAGAUCCGGAGGAACACCAGUGGCGAAGGCGGCUCACUGGGCCGACACCGACGCUGAGGCGCGAAAGCGUGGGGAGCGAAC
rnacentral:rRNA from 1 species